rnacentral:rRNA from 1 species
AACGAACGCUGGCGGCAUGCCUAACACAUGCAAGUCGAACGAGACCUUCGGGUCUAGUGGCGCACGGGUGCGUAACGCGUGGGAACCUGCCCUUAGGUUCGGAAUAACUCCCCGAAAGGGGUGCUAAUACCGGAUAAUGUCUUCGGACCAAAGAUUUAUCGCCUUUGGAUGGGCCCGCGUUGGAUUAGCUAGUUGGUAGGGUAAAAGCCUACCAAGGCGACGAUCCAUAGCUGGUCUGAGAGGAUGAUCAGCCACACUGGGACUGAGACACGGCCCAGACUCCUACGGGAGGCAGCAGUGGCGAAUAUUGGACCAUGGGCGCUAGCCUGAUCCAGCAAUGCCGCGUGAGUAAUGAAGGCCUUCGGGUUGUAAAGCUCUUUUACCCGGGAUGAUAAUGACAGUACCGGGAGAAUAAGCUCCGGCUAACUCCGUG